AGCACAUUGCUUGGUUACCAUAGUAUCCUCUGCCUCCAAGUCUCUCCUGAUGAUGUCAGUAUGCAUACAGGGGUUGUUCAGAUCAUCUACGUGGGGAUGAUUCACCCCACAAUAAAGCCCCUCUCUCUCGUUGCUCGCUUUCCAGUGUGAUUUCAGACAUCUGUAGCAAUGGAAGUCCGAUACAUACUUCUGCAUGUCUAUGCGAAUACCAGUGGAUGAGGAAGCCUUCGUGAUUGACUUCAAGCCUCGAGCCAGCAUGGAUACUGUCCAUCAUAUGUUACUUUUUGGAUGCAAUAUGCCUUCAUCCACUGGAAGUUACUGGUUUUGUGAUGAAGGAACCUGUACAGAUAAAGCCAAUAUUCUGUAUGCCUGGGCAAGAAAUGCUCCCCCUACCCGGCUCCCCAAAGGUGUUGGAUUCAGAGUUGGAGGAGAGACUGGAAGUAAAUACUUUGUACUACAGGUACACUAUGGGGAUAUUAGUGCUUUUAGAGAUAAUAACAAGGACUGUUCUGGUGUGUCCUUACACCUCACACGUCUGCC
rnacentral:sRNA from 1 species